rnacentral:rRNA from 1 species
AUUGAACGCUGGCGGCAGGCUUAACACAUGCAAGUCGAGCGGGGACUUCGGUCCUAGCGGCGAACGGGUGAGGAAUGCUUGGGAAUCUGCCCAGUAGCGGGGGAUAACGUUUCGAAAGGAACGCUAAUACCGCAUACGCCCUACGGGGGAAAGGGGGGGAUCUUCGGACCUCUCACUAUUGGAUGAGCCCAAGUCGGAUUAGCUAGUUGGUGGGGUAAAGGCCUACCAAGGCGACGAUCCGUAACUGGUCUGAGAGGAUGAUCAGUCACACUGGAACUGAGACACGGUCCAGACUCCUACGGGAGGCAGCAAUGGGGAAUAUUGGACAAUGGGCGAAAGCCUGAUCCAGCCAUGCCGCGUGUGUGAAGAAGGUCUUCGGAUUGUAAAGCACUUUAAGUUGGGAGGAAGGGCAGUAAGUUAAUACCUUGCUGUUUUGACGUUACCAACAGAAUAAGCACCGGCUAACUUCGUGCCAGCAGCCGCAGUAA